rnacentral:rRNA from 1 species
UACGUAGGUGGCUAGCGUUGUCCGGAUUUACUGGGCGUAAAGGGCGCGUAGGCGGCUUUGCAAGUGACGGGUGAAAGCCCUCGGCUUAACCGAGGAACUGCCUGUCAGACUGUGAGGCUUGAGACCGGGAGAGGUGAGUGGAAUUCCCAGUGUAGCGGUGAAAUGCGUAGAUAUUGGGAGGAACACCAGUGGCGAAGGCGGCUCACUGGACCGGAACUGACGCUGAGGCGCGAAAGCGUGGGGAGCAAACAGG